rnacentral:rRNA from 1 species
GAUGAACGCUGCCAGCAUGCUUAACACAUGCAAGUCAACUGUGGCGGACGGGUGAGUAACGCGUAAAGAACUUGCCUCCCAGGUAGGGACAACCUUUGGAAACGAAUGCUAAUCCCUAAUAGUGUGAGAGAGCUUUGCGUCCCAUUAGCUAGUUGGAGAGGUAACGGCUCACCAAGGCGAUGAUGGGUAGCCGGCCUGAGAGGGUGAUCGGCCACAAGGGGACUGAGGAACGGCCCUUACUCCUACGGGAGGCAGCAGGGGGGAAUAUUGAAGAAUGGACCAAAGUCUGAUCCAGCAAUUCUGUGUGCACGAUGAAGUUUUCGGAAUGUAAAGUGCUUUAAGUUGGGAAGCGGUACCAACAGAAGAAGUGACGGCUAAAUACGUGCCAGCAGCCGCGGUAAUAC